rnacentral:sRNA from 1 species
ACUGUGGCCCUCGUCCCCUGCCUCACCAAGCAUGUGCUCCGGGAAAACCAGGAUUAUGUCCCUGGAGAGCGGACCCCAAUGCUGGAGGAUGUAGAUGAGGGGGGCAUCCGGCCCUGGCACCUGGUGAAGCCAAGUGAUGAGCCGGAGCCGCCCAGGCCUCGGAGGGGCAGCCUUCGGGGCGGGGAGCGUGAGCGUGCCAAGGCCAUCCCUGAGAUCUACCUGACCCGCCUGCUGUCCAUGAAGGGCACCCUGCAGAAGUUCGUGGAUGAUCUAUUCCAGGUGAUUCUCAGCACCAGCCGCCCCGUGCCACUUGCUGUGAAGUACUUCUUUGACCUGCUGGAUGAGCAGGCCCAGCAGCAUGGCAUCUCCGACCAGGACACCAUCCACAUCUGGAAGACCAACAGGUGGGGUGGAGCUGGGUGGGCUCUAGGUGUGUGUGGGGGGUCUUCUCUUCUGCCUCCCCAGCACAUUCAUUGGCCAUGCCUGCCCCACCCGCAGCUUGCCUCUGAGGUUCUGGAUCAAUAUAAUAAAAAACCCGCAGUUUGUGUUCGACGUGCAAACAUCUGAUAACAUGGA